CCUACGGGAGGCUGCAGUGGGGGCUAUUGCACAAUGGGGGGAACCCUGAUGCAGCGACGCCGCGUGGGUGCAGAAGCGCCUCGGCGCGUAAAGCCCUGUCAGCAGGGAAGAAAAUGACGGUACCUGAAGAAGAAGCCCCGGCUAACUACGUGCCAGCAGCCGCGGUAAUACGUAGGGGGCAAGCGGUAUCCGGAUUUACUGGGUGUAAAGGGGGCGCAGACGGCGAUGCAAGCCAGGAGUGAAAGCCCGGGGCCCAACCCCGGGACUGCACUUGGAACUGCGUGGCUGGAGUGCAGGAGGGGCAGGCGGAAUUCCUGGUGGAGCGGUGAAAUGCGUAGAUAUCAGGAGGAACUCCGAUUGCGAAGGCAGCAUACCGGCUCCAUACUGACGCUGAGGCACGAAAGCGUGGGGAUCGAACAGGAUUAGAUACCCGAGUAGUC
rnacentral:rRNA from 1 species